rnacentral:rRNA from 1 species
UUAUUCAGAUUUAUAAGUUUAACUUUGUUUUGAAAUAAGAAGAUUAUAAGUUUAAUUAAUGGUGAUGAAAGUAAUUUGUUUAAUUAUAGAGGAUUAGUAUUGUGAAAGAAUAAGCUUUAUGAAAGUGAAAGAAGAAUUGAUUUUUUGUACCUUGUGUAUCAGGGUUUAUCUAAAAAGGGUUUAUUAUCUAAAUUUUCUCGAAUUCAAAAGAGCUAUUUGUGUAUAUUUUUUAUUGUAAAAUAAAUAGUAUUAAUACACAGAUGGAGGUGAAACGCUAAUCGGUUUUGAAUAUAUCUAGUUUUUCAAGAAAUAAAUUAAAUUUAUUUAUUUUAAUACUAUUAAUUUGACUUUAUAAUGUGAUGGUUGGAAUAUUAAAUAUUGUAAGGGAUGAGCUUUACUUUAUAUUUAUAUAAGAUAUUGGUGUUUAUGAGGAGUAAGUAGGAUUAUAAGUUUCUUUCUUCAUAGUGUGUUACAUCUAACUCUCAGUUGACUAUUAUUUAUAUAUUCUUUAUAUUUUUUAUUGAAAUGUUUUUUCUAAUAAGAGGUGAUAGGAAAUAAUGAUAAAAUUAGUAUAAUAUUUUGUUGGGGAAUUCUUAUGUGAUAGGUUGGACAAAGGAAUUCGGCAAAAGGCUUUUCACCUGUUUAUUAAAAACAUGGCCUUUUGAUUAUGAUUUAAGGUCGGGCCUGCCCAUUGAUUAAUUAUUUAACGGCCGCGGUAAACUGACCGUGCAAAGGUAGCAUAGUAAUUAGUUUUUUAAUUGAAAGCUUGUAUGAAGGGUUUAAUGAGAAAGCAGCUGUCUCUGUUCAAUUUAUUUGGAAUUUUACUUUUGAGUAAAAAGGCUUAGAUUAUUCUGGAAGACGAGAAGACCCUAUAGAGUUUGACAUUUUUUAUCUUUUUUAAAUGUAAAGAAUAUAUUGUUUUUUUUAGGUAAAAAUUUGUUUGAUUGGGGUGAUUGGAAAAUUAAGUCAACUUUUCUUUGAUAAAUACAUCUGUUUAUGGAUAUAUGAUCCUCUGUUAGAGAUUAUAAGACAAAAUUACCUUAGGGAUAACAGCGUAAUAUUUUUUGAGAGUUCUAAUCGAAAAAAAUGGUUGCGACCUCGAUGUUGGAUUAAAAUAAAUUUUUGGUGUAGAAGCUAAAAUAAUUGGGUCUGUUCGACCUUUAAAAUUUUACAUGAUCUGAGUUUAAACCGGCGUGAGCCAGGUUGGUUUCUAUCUCCAGCUAGUUAAAAUAUUUUAGUACGAAAGGACCAAAUAUUUAGUUUGUAAUUUUGAAGUUAGAACAAUA